rnacentral:RNase_P_RNA from 1 species
GAAGUAAGCUGGGUAAUCGCCGGUGCAAAGCUGAAAGGCUGCACGGGAGGAAAGUCCGAGCUCCACAGGGCAGGGUGCCGGAUAACGUCCGGCGGGAGCAAUCCUAGGGAUAGUGCCACAGAAAUGUAGACCGCCGAUGGAUGUGUGUUGCUUGCAGCACCGUCACAGGCAAGGAUGCAACGGUGCGGUAAGAGCGCACCAGCAGCCUGGAGACAGGCUGGCUAGGUAAACCCCACCUGGAGCAAGACCGGAUAGGAGUGCAUAUGCGGCGGCCCGUCGCGCACUCGGGUUGGUCGCUGGAGCGGAUUGGCAACAAUUCGCCUAGAUAGAUGGUUACCGCCCAUUGUGCGAGGCAGAACAUGUUGACGCGAUUGCCAUUAGACGAUUGGCGCGGCAUCAGUAUGCCGUUUGCAGCACGGGGACACAGAACUCGGCUUACAGGACUUGCUUCCAAC